rnacentral:tRNA from 1 species
UAGCCUAGUCGUUAAGGCUAUGGAUCGCCAAUCCAGAGACGGCGGGUUCGAUUCCCGU